AGUGAACGCUGGCGGUAGGCCUAACACAUGCAAGUCGAACGGCGGCACAGUAAGAGCUUGCUCUUACGGGUGGCGAGUGGCGGACGGGUGAGGAAUACAUCGGAAUCUACUUUUUCGUGGGGGAUAACGUAGGGAAACUUACGCUAAUACCGCAUACGACCUACGGGUGAAAGCAGGGGAUCUUCGGACCUUGCGCGAUUGAAUGAGCCGAUGUCGGAUUAGCUAGUUGGCGGGGUAAAGGCCCACCAAGGCGACGAUCCGUAGCUGGUCUGAGGGGAUGAUCAGCCACACUGGAACUGAGACACGGUCCAGACUCCUACGGGAGGCAGCAGUGGGGAAUAUUGGACAAUGGGCGCAAGCCUGAUCCAGCCAUACCGCGUGGGUGAAGAAGGCCUUCGGGUUGUAAAGCCCUUUUGUUGGGAAAGAAAAGCAGCAGGUUAAUACCCCGCUGUUCUGACGGUACCCAAAGAAUAAGCACCGGCUAACUUCGUG
rnacentral:rRNA from 1 species